GCGAUCUGCUCAGAGAGGAAAGGCGUUCACCGGUUUGGUCUCUCUGUGCCUGAUGGAGGCUCCGGUGACUCCAAGAUAUCCCAGGACAUGCUCUAUGCUACAGAGAUGGAAGCAGGAACCAGUUAGUGCCAUGGACGACCCUCUGGUGUCCUAGACAGAUGGACUGUGGUGGCUCAUUGGUCAUGGUGUUUAGGGGGGACACUGCAAUGGACAGAAUAAACCAGUUGUCUAUACCAACACCAAACACCAUCUGAACUGGAUCUAUCAUCAGACGCUGAAGCUUCAAGAUGUCUGACAUUGGGACCAAAGAUGAUACGCCUGAGACGAGUUAUUUGCGUUAUAACAUUUUCUACACUUAAGCUUUUGAUGUGUUCCCUUUAAUCCUGUGUAAUGCUGAUUGGGUUAUUUUGAUUUCCUUACAUGAAAUAAAAGUAUAUAUUUCCACAGCUUCUAAAAACACAGAUCAGCCACAAUUUUAAUAUAUGCAGUAUAAAAUGUCAUGAAUUGUCUAAAAGUGUUAAGCUGUUGUCUCAAUGUUUAUCUUGACUAGUUGUGCUGUGAAAAAAGUAUGUGCCCCCUUACACUUUUGAUCUAUUUUUUUUUUUACUUUUUUUUUGUCACACUUAAAUGUUUCAAAUCACACAUAUUUUAAUGUCAAAGUUCACCUGAGUAAAAGAGAAAUUCAACUUUUGUAAUAAUUACAUCUGUCCAUAAAAGUACUUGCCUGCUGUACCGUAUAGUUGUGCAACGAUUUGCAGCAACAGCUGUGGAGUAAUUUUGGUUUUAGUUUAGCUACAUUGGAGAGUUUUCUAGGGUGAGCAGACUGUUUAAGGUCAUGCUACAGCAUUUUGAUUGGAAUUAAGUUCGUACUCAGACUUGGCCACUCCUAAAGUCUUUAUUAUUUAUUGUUUGAGCCAUUUGGAAGUGGACUUGCUGUGUGCUUUGGAUCAAGAGCUCAAGCUCAACAGCCGGACAUUACACCGUCGUCUCUUUAGUUGACAGAAUAUUCAUCAAGGGAUGUUUCUGGCAAAUAUUAAACCUUUGUGGCUUUUGUCUUUGAGGAACACUCAUGCCAUUUUUUCAAGCUUUUUCCCUUAAUAAUUAAAAUCAUCGUUUGAAAACUGCUUUUUGUUUUGACUCAGAUUGCCUGACUUUAAAAUUUGUUUAAUCUUAAACAUGUAUUUGUGACAAGAAAUGAAAUCUUGAAACUUGGCAUGUUUUGUGAAACAUCCAGCUUAUGACAUGCUCUUAUUUUGUAUUUUGGGAUGAGAUGCUACUGCGUUGGAAUAAAUGUUAC